GGACAUGUAUUUCAAUUGUUAUUGCGGUCACUUGACAAUAUAAUAGACAGUGGUAGCGCUGUAACUCUUUCAGGUUGUGAAUAUAUUUUCCGCAUAUCUUUAGUAGUAGUAUUAACAUUACCAAUGACAUCAGGAACUCGGAACUAUUAACAAAAGAUGUGCAGUGAUUACCAGGAGUGGGGUUCGAACCCACGCGGACAUAUGUCCAUUGGAUCUUAAGUCCAACGCCUUAACCACUCGGCCAUCCUGGUUGGCGUCAAAAACAGUUCCAAUAAUUGAUCAUGGAUAUCAAUAUAUACUGAAAGCAUGGGAAACAGCAACAGAACAACUUCCUACAGGGGUUGUUCUUCUUGUACUUCACCGCCAGCUUGAUCUGAGCCUGGGCCUUGCCCACAAAGUCUGUUGUUGCGACUACGUUGGCCACCAUGGCCCUCUGUUCCUCCACCCACCAGCAGAGCCAUCUGGAAGAACAGCUCAUGGAUGUCCAUAUAGUGGAAGUAUUACUAUAUAGUUUACGCAUCCAAUCCUUUCAGAUCUACACAGCGGGGUCAUUAGAUAUCUGUGGGGAAGGAGCAGUGAGUGGUUGAUUUAGGAUUGGGCGAUUGUCGAACAGAGAGAUGGGUACCUCACUUGCUGGUGGGGUUAUGGAACACAGACGUUGAAAGUUAGCCUUCACGUCACAGCAAUCUGAUGAGGAUUCUCUGAGUCUGUUUUUGACUCAUGAUGGACACUAGAAAUAGCAAUGGUCUCUUGGAUAUCUGCAUGUGAUGUGUACUAUACAAUGGAAAAAUUGAGGCACAGUCUUGUUUUCGUAACAAUGUCAAAUCCAGUUGAGUCAUUUUGAGGUUGCCUUCAGUUGCAAUAUCAGUCAGUGUAGCAAUAACGGUUGUGUCUCCAAGAAAGGAACUCAAAUGUAUCACAAUGAUAACAGUUGAGAAUGAUGCAUCAUGAUCAAGUAAUUGUGUACAUCAAAAAUGAAUGCUCAAAUGAAACACAAAGGGCCAUUCUACAGCAUUUGUGUUCAUAAAAUUCCCAAUAUCCUGUUAUGAAACAUAAAUAAUAUAAAAUA